CUUAUUAGAGUGGCGCACGGGUGAGUAACGCGUAGACAACCUGCCCUUCAGCCUGGGAUAACAUCGCGAAAGUGGUGCUAAUACCGGAUAAUACUGAAUACCUGGUGGUGAAUAGUUGAAAGGCUUGCUACUGAGGGAUGGGUCUGCGUGACAUUAGCUUGUUGGUGAGGUAACGGCUCACCAAGGCUACGAUGUCUAGCUGGUCUGAGAGGAUGAUCAGCCACACUGGAACUGAGACACGGUCCAGACUCC
rnacentral:rRNA from 1 species